AUUGAACGCUGGCGGAAUGCUUUACACAUGCAAGUCGAGCGGCAGCGCGGCCUUCGGGCUGGCGGCGAGCGGCGAACGGGUGAGUAAUGCAUCGGAACAUGCCCAGUCGUGGGGGAUAACACUUCGAAAGAAGUGCUAAUACCGCAUACGUCCUGAGGGGGAAAGCGGGGGAUCGCAAGACCUCGCGCGAUUGGAGUGGCCGAUGUCAGAUUAGCUAGUUGGUGGGGUAAAGGCCUACCAAGGCGACGAUCUGUAGCUGGUCUGAGAGGAUGAUCAGCCACACUGGGACUGAGACACGGCCCAGACUCCUACGGGAGGCAGCAGUGGGGAAUUUUGGACAAUGGGGGCAACCCUGAUCUAGCCAUUCCGCGUGAGUGAAGAAGGCCUUCGGGUUGUAAAGCUCUUUCGGCAGGAACGAAACGGUGGGCUCUAACAUAGUCCGCUAAUGACGGUACCUGAAGAAGAAGCACCGGCUAACUACGUG
rnacentral:rRNA from 1 species